GUCAGCAGCCGCGGUAACACCGGCAGCUCUAGUGGUAACAAUUUUAUUGGGCCUAAAGCGUCCGUAGCCGGUUUAAUAAGUCUCUGGUGAAAUCCUGCAGCUUAACUGUGGGAAUUGCUGGAGAUACUAUUAGACUUGAGACCGGGAGAGGUUAGAGGUACUCCCAGGGUAGAGGUGAAAUUCUGUAAUCCUGGGAGGACCGCCUGUUGCGAAGGCGUCUAACUGGAACGGUUCUGACGGUGAGGGACGAAAGUUAGGGGCGCGAACCGGAUUAGAUACCCGGGUAGUCCUAACUGUAAACGAUGCGGACUUGGUGUUGGGGUGGCUUUGAGCUGCUUCAGUGCCGAAGGGAAGCUGUUAAGUCCGCCGCCUGGGAAGUACGGUCGCAAGACUGAAACUUAAGGAAUUGGCGGGGGAGCACCACAACGCGUGGAGCCUGCCGGUUUAAUUGGAUUCAACGCCGGACAUCUCACCAGAGGCGACAGCUGUAUGAUAGCCAGGUUGAUGACUUUGCUUGACUAGCUGAGUAGUGGUGCAUGG
rnacentral:rRNA from 1 species